rnacentral:rRNA from 1 species
UACGUAGGGCGCAAGCGUUGUUCGGAUUUACUGGGCGUAAAGGGCGCGUAGGCGGUUCGGUAAGUCCUGUGUGAAAUCCCUCGGCUCAACUGAGGAACUGCACGGGAGACUGCCGGGCUUGAGUUCGGGAGAGGGAAGCGGAAUUCCGGGUGUAGCGGUGAAAUGCGUAGAUAUCCGGAGGAACACCGGUGGCGAAGGCGGCUUCCUGGACCGACACUGACGCUGAGGCGCGAAAGCUAGGGGAGCAAACGGG